rnacentral:rRNA from 1 species
UAGGGAAUCUUCCGCAAUGGGCGAAAGCCUGACGGAGCAACGCCGCGUGAGUGAUGAAGGUCUUCGGAUCGUAAAACUCUGUUAUUAGGGAAGAACAAAUGUGUAAGAAACUAUGCACGUCUUGACGGUACCUAAUCAGAAAGCCACGGCUAACUACGUGCCAGCAGCCGCGGUAAUACGUAGGUGGCAAGCGUUAUCCGGAAUUAUUGGGCGUAAAGCGCGCGUAGGCGGUUUUUUAAGUCUGAUGUGAAAGCCCACGGCUCAACCGUGGAGGGUCAUUGGAAACUGGAAAACUUGAGUGCAGAAGAGGAAAGUGGAAUUCCAUGUGUAGCGGUGAAAUGCGCAGAGAUAUGGAGGAACACCAGUGGCGAAGGCGACUUUCUGGUCUGUAACUGACGCUGAUGUGCGAAAGCGUGGGGAUCAAACAGG